rnacentral:rRNA from 1 species
GAUGAACGCUGGCGGCGUGCUUAACACAUGCAAGUCGAACGAUGAAGCCCAGCUUGCUGGGUGGAUUAGUGGCGAACGGGUGAGUAACACGUGAGUAACCUGCCCUUAACUCUGGGAUAAGCCUGGGAACUGGGUCUAAUACCGGAUAGGAGCGUCCACCGCAUGGUGGGUGUUGGAAAGAUUUAUCGGUUUUGGAUGGACUCGCGGCCUAUCAGCUUGUUGGUGAGGUAAUGGCUCACCAAGGCGACGACGGGUAGCCGGCCUGAGAGGGUGACCGGCCACACUGGGACUGAGACACGGCCCAGACUCCUACGGGAGGCAGCAGUGGGGAAUAUUGCACAAUGGGCGAAAGCCUGAUGCAGCGACGCCGCGUGAGGGAUGACGGCCUUCGGGUUGUAAACCUCUUUCAGUAGGGAAGAAGCGAAAGUGACGGUACCUGCAGAAGAAGCACCGGCUAACUACGUG